GACGAACGCUGGCGGCGUGCUUAACACAUGCAAGUCGAACGGAAAGGCCCUGCUUUUGUGGGGUGCUCGAGUGGCGAACGGGUGAGUAACACGUGAGUAACCUGCCCUUGACUUUGGGAUAACUCCAGGAAACUGGGGCUAAUACCGGAUAGGAGCUCCUGCUGCAUGGUGGGGGUUGGAAAGUUUCGGCGGUUGGGGAUGGACUCGCGGCUUAUCAGCUUGUUGGUGGGGUAGUGGCUUACCAAGGCUUUGACGGGUAGCCGGCCUGAGAGGGUGACCGGCCACAUUGGGACUGAGAUACGGCCCAGACUCUUACGGGAGGCAGCAGUGGGGAAUAUUGCACAAUGGGCGGAAGCCUGAUGCAGCAACGCCGCGUGCGGGAUGACGGCCUUCGGGUUGUAAACCGCUUUCGCCUGUGACGAAGCGUGAGUGACGGUAAUGGGUAAAGAAGCACCGGCUAACUACGUG
rnacentral:rRNA from 1 species